rnacentral:rRNA from 1 species
AAAUUGAAGAGUUUGAUCAUGGCUCAGAUUGAACGCUGGCGGCAGGCCUAACACAUGCAAGUCGAACGGUAACAGGAAGCAGCUUGCUGCUUUGCUGACGAGUGGCGGACGGGUGAGUAAUGUCUGGGAAACUGCCUGAUGGAGGGGGAUAACUACUGGAAACGGUGGCUAAUACCGCAUAACGUCGCAAGACCAAAGAGGGGGACCUUCGGGCCUCUUGCCAUCAGAUGUGCAGAUGUGC